rnacentral:rRNA from 1 species
UAAAUACUCCUGACUGACCGAUAGUGAACCAGUACCGUGAGGGAAAGGCGAAAAGAACCCCGGCGAGGGGAGUGAAAAAGAACCUGAAACCGUGUACGUACAAGCAGUGGGAGCACAGAGCAAUCUGUGUGACUGCGUACCUUUUGUAUAAUGGGUCAGCGACUUAUAUUCUGUAGCAAGGUUAACCGAAUAGGGGAGCCGAAGGGAAACCGAGUCUUAACUGGGCGUUAAGUUGCAGGGUAUAGACCCGAAACCCGGUGAUCUAGCCAUGGGCAGGUUGAAGGUUGGGUAACACUAACUGGAGGACCGAACCGACUAAUGUUGAAAAAUUAGCGGAUGACUUGUGGCUGGGGGUGAAAGGCCAAUCAAACCGGGAGAUAGCUGGUUCUCCCCGAAAGCUAUUUAGGUAGCGCCUCGUGAAUUCAUCUCCGGGGGUAGAGCACUGUUUCGGCAAGGGGGUCAUCCCGA